UGUUGCCUACGGGAGGCAGCAGUGGGGGAUAUUGCACAAUGGGGGGAACCCUGAUGCAGCGACGCCGCGUGGGUGAAGGAGCGUUUCGGCGCGUAAAGCCCUAUCGGCAGGGAAGAAGAUGACGGUACCUGACCAAGAAGCCCCGGCUAACUACGUGCCAGCAGCCGCGGUAAUACGUAGGGGGCAAGCGUUAUCCGGAAUUACUGGGUGUAAAGGGAGCGCAGGCGGGAAGCCAAGUCAGCUGUGAAAACUACGGGCUUAAAUUGU
rnacentral:rRNA from 1 species